rnacentral:lncRNA from 1 species
UAUCUCAGGGAUUGUUUUGUUUUCCAAUCUGAGAGCAAUCUGCUUUGUAGUUCUUACCUCUUAGUUUACCAAAAUCCCUUUCAAUUCCAAAAAGGCUAGUACUGACUCAUCACAGAGACAGCAUGAGGCCAUAUUGCUUUGUGAAAUUUUCAUUCUGACAAUCAUGUUUCCAGACUGGGCCUUUUUGCAAUGCUAAUUACACCAUUACCACUCUGCAGGCUAACAUUUCUGUUCUUUAUAAAAUCACUCACCCAGGAGUCUUGCUUUUGGUGUUUCUGUGGAACUUGAACUCAGGAGAAUCUUCUUCCCCUUUCCUGCCCCCAUAUCUCUUUUUCUAUCUAUUCAGCUCUCUCUCUUUCUUAGCAUUUUGGCUGCAGUAACCAAAACAGCAUGAUACUGGUAUAAAAACAGACACAUAGACCAAUGGAACAGAAUAGAGAACCCAGAAAUAAAGCAGCACACCUACAUGCAUGCCCUGCUCAUGACCUAGAGGCAGGUCUCUUUCUUUGCCUUUUGCUUUUUGCUUCUGGAUUGGAAGCAUGUCCAAAAAAACAAAUCAAAUAAUCUAUAA